UUCUAAUAAAACAUAAUUGAAAUUAAGGAAAAAGAGAAGACAACGUGCCUCUUAUGGCUCAGUCAUACACCAAAUACCUAAAUUUCUUCAUGUAGCGAUUUAAUUUGUGAUUCUGCUUUGUAGCUGGGUUUAACAUAAACCACUGAAAUGAGUUAUACUGUACUUCAUCUUCUGACAUUCUUAGCCAGUUGUGGGGGCAUUCCGGUGAGAUACUGAACAAUAAGUUGAUAGUAAUAUAAAAAAGGUGUAUUCACACCCCUGUACAGGGAUGAAUGGAGGGUCAAUGAAUCAUGCACAGUGAGGAUUCCUUUUGUCUAGUAAGUCAAGGGUAAAAGUAACAUACAUUCCAACAUAAGCAUGGCUUAGGCCUCUACACUGCUGAAUAUGACAUGCAUCAAUGAGCCAGUGUAUCUAACAUGUAUUCAACAGAUUUUACAGACAAUGAAUUUGCAAGAGAACAAGACAGUGAUGCUGACAGUCAGAGGCUAUAAAAGGGAAUUUUCCAUGUAAUCAUUUCAAACACUACAAAUGUACAGUAUCAGAACUCAGCCUGAAAAUACUUCCCAGAACCAUCAGCCACAGCUUUCUUGUUUAGAUAUGGGUUUAGUUAACCAUCAAAAUUAAAAUAAAACAUGUUGGAUGAAGUGUUUUAAAAACAUUGAAACUAAAACCAAACAGAGGAACAGGUAAACUCAUUUUGAAAGGGCAGGUGUUGAUAGGUAGCCUAGGCCCUUCUCUUGUAGCUUAUACAGUAAGCAGCUUGUCUGGUCUCUGGCCCCACACCUACCCUCCCCCUCCCCCAUCAGGACACAAUGUUCCCCCCCUUCAACACCAGAAGAGCAGCUGCAGCAGAGAUGCACCGUUUUUCCUCUAUUUCCUUGAGACACCCACCUUCCCGUGCCCAAGAAGAGCUAAACUACAGCCGAUGCGCAUGCCGCUAUUGUAAACUUUGCAAUGAGCACGUGAACUGGGUAUUUUUCAGAACAAGUGGUACUCCCCUCAGAAUUCCACAAAUGAGCACCAUAGCCUCUUGAGGUCUGGACAGCCUCAGUGUUCAGGCAACAGGAGAGACAUUGAUCGAUAUAGGGAGGCCAUUGUUGUUCAUGACAUCAUCCAAAUCCUCAUCUUCUAUCACCACU
ensembl:lncRNA